rnacentral:rRNA from 1 species
AGGACGAACGCUGGCGGCGUGCUUAACACAUGCAAGUCGAGCGGUAAGGCCCUUUCGGGGGUACACGAGCGGCGAACGGGUGAGUAACACGUGGGUGACCUGCCCUUAGCUCUGGGAUAAGCCUGGGAAACUGGGUCUAAUACCGGAUAUGACUCCACGGUGCAUGUCGUGGGGUGGAAAGCCUUGUGCGGCUGAGGAUGGGCCCGCGGCCUAUCAGCUUGUUGGUGGGGUGAUUGCCUACCAAGGCGACGACGGGUAGCCGGCCUGAGAGGGCGACCGGCCACACUGGGACUGAGACACGGCCCAGACUCCUACGGGAGGCAGCAGUGGGGAAUCUUGCGCAAUGGGCGAAAGCCUGACGCAGCGACGCCGCGUGAGGGAUGACGGCCUCGGGUUGUAAACCUCUUUCAGCAGGGACGAUUGUGACGGUACCUGCAGAAGAGCCCCGGCCAACUACGUGCCAGCAGGCCGC